ACGGAGGGUGCAAGCGUUAUUCGGAUUUAUUGGGCGUAAAGGGCGCGUAGGCGGCUUUUUAAGUCAGAUGUGAAAUCCCGGGGCUUAACCUCGGAAGUGCAUUUGAAACUGGGAAGCUUGAGUAUGGGAGAGGGAAACGGAAUUCCUGGUGUAGGGGUGAAAUGCGUAGAUAUCAGGAGGAACACCGGUGGCGAAGGCGGUUUCCCGGACCAAUUCUGACGCUGAGGCACGAAAGCGCGGGGAGCAAACAG
rnacentral:rRNA from 1 species